CAAUAGCGUAUAUUUUAGUUGUUGCAGUUAAAAAGCUCGUAGUUGGAUUUUGGGUCGGGGGCACCGGUCCGCCGUUCCGGUGUGCACUGGUGGCCCCUUCCUUUCUGCCGGGGACGUGCGUCGCACUUAAUUGGGUGGCGUUCGGAGUCGGCGUUGUUACUUUGAAAAAAUUAGAGUGUUCAAAGCAAGCCAUCGCUCUGAAUACAUUAGCAUGGAAUAACAUGAUAGGACUCCGGUCUUAUUUUGUUGGUUUCCGAGACUGGAGUAAUGAUUAAGAGGGACAGUCGGGGGCAUCCGUAUUUCAUUGUCAGAGGUGAAAUUCUUGGAUUUAUGAAAGACGAACUUCUGCGAAAGCAUUUGCCAAGGAUGUUUUCAUUAA
rnacentral:rRNA from 1 species